rfam:Triticum aestivum genome assembly, contig: Triticum_aestivum_CS42_TGACv1_scaffold_593598_7BS
CAAAUACUCCCUCCGUCUGGAAAUACUUGUCAUCAAAAUCGAUGAAAGGAAAUGUAUCUAGACGUAUUUUAGUUUUAGAUACAUCUAUUUUUAUCCAUUUUGAUGACAAGUAUUUUCGGACGGAGGGAGUAGAAA